GCGGGCAGGGGGUGGUUCGCUCUUCAGCGCUACUGCCCCGCUUUGCCCGUGUGAUUGGCGGAGGUUUCGGGGUGCUCUUCGUUGAGUGACUCGGAGCGCCGUCAGGUUUACUUUGAAAAAAUUAGAGUGCUCAAAGCAGGCUUUUCACGCUUGAAUAUUCGUGCAUGGAAUAAUGGAAUAGGAACUCGUUUCUAUUUUGUUGGUUUUCGGAAAUCGAGUUAAUGAUUAACAGGGACAAUUGGGGGCAUUAGUAUUCAGACGACAGAGGUGAAAUUCUUGGACCGUCUGAAGACUGACUACUGCGAAAGCAUUUGCCAAGAGUGUUCUCAUUAAUCAAGAACGAAAGUUAGAGGUUCGAAGGCGAUCAGAUACCGCCCUAGUUCUAACCAUAAACGAUGCCAGCUAGCGAUCUGCCGAGUUUUUUUUGUANGCUCCGCAGGAAGCUUUCGGGGAUACCAAAGCUUUUGGGUUCCGGGGGAAGUAUGGUUGCAAAGCUGAAACUUAAAGGAAUUGACGGAAGGGCACCACCAGGAGUGGAGCCUGCGGCUUAAUUUGGCUCUACACGGGAAAUCUC
rnacentral:rRNA from 1 species